UGAAGCGGCAACAGCUCAAAUUUGAAAUCUGGCCCUUUCAGGGUCCGAGUUGUAAUUUGUAGAGGAUGCUUUUGGGCAGCCACCGGUCUAAGUUCCUUGGAACAGGACGUCAUAGAGGGUGAGAAUCCCGUAUGUGACUGGACAGGCACCCUUUGUAAAGCUCCUUCGACGAGUCGAGUUGUUUGGGAAUGCAGCUCUAAAUGGGAGGUAAAUUUCUUCUAAAGCUAAAUACCGGCCAGAGACCGAUAGCGCACAAGUAGAGUGAUCGAAAGAUGAAAAGCACUUUGGAAAGAGAGUUAAAAAGCACGUGAAAUUGUUGAAAGGGAAGGGCUUGCAAUUAGACUUGCCCGCAGUUGUUCAGCUGGUCUUCUGACCGGUUUAUUCUUCUGCGGGCAGGCCAGCAUCAGUUUCGGCGGCCGGAUAAAGGCUCUGGGAAUGUGGCUGCCCUUCGGGGCAGUGUUAUAGCCCAGGGUGUAAUACGGCCAGCCGGGACUGAGGUCCGCGCUUCGGCUAGGAUGCUGGCGUAAUGAUUGUAAGCCGCCCGUCUUGAAACACGGACCAAGGAGUCUAACAUCUAUGCGAGUGUUAGGGUGUCAAACCCUUACGCGUAAUGAAAGUGAACGGAGGUGGGAACCCGCAAGGGUGCACCAUCGACCGAUCCUGAUGUCUUCGGAUGGAUUUGAGUAAGAGCAUAGCUGUUGGGACCCGAAAGAUGGUGAACUAUG
rnacentral:rRNA from 1 species